CAGGAUAACUAAUAUGUUUUCCUGGCACUGGAGAAUCCCUUUAAUUUAAAGGACCACUAUAGUGCCAGGAAAACAUACUAGUUUUCCUGGCACUAU